rnacentral:lncRNA from 1 species
GGAAGUGUCUUUCUCUGUCAACAUGAAAUAGAUUUUCCCUUCUGUAGCUUGCUUGGCACCAUUUUCCCUGCUCGUGGGUGGAAGCAUCGGCCAGGGACCCACCUGCCUGAUAAUUUCAGAGUUCAUCUUCCUGUUGGCCUUUGAUGUACCCUGGGAACAUGGCUUCCUAGUUUCUACACAUACCCUCACCUGGAUCCCAGCCUCACACCAUGGAGAAGUGGCUCUAUGGCAGUCCAAGGAAUUCUUCCUGUGAUCCGAGUGGGGUUGCAGGCUGCCCAUUGGAUAGAUGUCUCCAGAGCAUCCUUACAUUUCCGUCGCUUGCUUUGCAGACAUGAGAUCCUGAGUUUAUCCCUAGGACCCACGUAAAAAGCUGGGUCCGAUAAUGUGUGUUUAUAAUAACAGCCCUGAGGAGGCAGAGACAGGGGGAUCCCCAGGUCCUGGCCACCCAGCUGAAGUCAACCAGUGAAUUCUAGGCCAGUGAGGG